CAAGUGACUCCGCGCCGAUAAUUCACGGGACUCAAGCCUACCGCCGAAGCUACGGUCCCGUCACCGCAAGGUGAUGGGAGGUAGGGGAACGUUCCAGUUGCCUGCGAAGGUGCUUCGUGAGAAGCGCUGGAGGUCCUGGAAAUGACUAUGCCAGCAUAAGUAGCGAGAAUUCCGGUGAGAAACCGGAACACCGUAAGUCUAAGGUUUCCUGAGUAAAGUUAAUCUGCUCAGGGUUAGUCGGACCCUAAGCCGAGGCCGAAAGGCGUAGGCGAUGGAAAACAGGUGAAUAUUCCUGUACCACCAGUGGGUCGACAAAGACACCAUGGGGUGACGCAGAAGUGAAAGGUCAGCCGGUCUCUGGAUUGCCGGUCUAAGUGCGUAGGAGGACCGGGUAGGCAAAUCCGCCUGGUCAUAACUCCGAGACACCAACGGGAGGGCUCUGCCCACAAACUGACCCUAAGCAUGCUGCCGAGAAAAACCUCUAAGUGAGGCCCACAGGUGACCGUACCGCAAACCGACACAGGUAGACGGGGAGAGAAUCCUAAGGUGCUCGAGUGAGCCCUGGUUUAGGAACUAGGCAAUCUGACCCCGUA
rnacentral:rRNA from 1 species